ACCAGUCCUCCUCCAUGGCCGGAGGCUAUCCUUCUCGGUUUCCAGCACUACCUGGUUAUGCUUGGCACCACUGUUAUCAUUCCUACUGCUCUUGUUCCUCAGAUGGGUGGAGGAAAUGAUGAGAAAGCUCAGGUGAUCCAGACAUUACUGUUUGUGGCCGGCUUAAACACUCUGUUACAGACCUUGUUUGGAACUCGUUUACAAGGUCAAUUUUCUAAACCAAUUGGCUAUCUUGGUUUCUGAACAAAACACUUGAAAAUACUAAUGAGAUUUCAUGAA